GCCGAUGUGGUGUAAUCUGGUAACACGCGUCGUUUGGGACGACGAGUCACAGUUCGAAUCUGGCAUCGGCGACCA
rnacentral:tRNA from 1 species